rnacentral:rRNA from 1 species
UACAGAGGUCCCAAGCGUUGUUCGGAUUCACUGGGCGUAAAGGGUGCGUAGGUGGCAGGGUAAGUUUGAUGUGAAAUCUCCGAGCUUAACUCGGAAACUGCAUUGAAUACUAUCCUGCUCGAGGUUUGGAAGGGGGACUGGAAUUCUCGGUGUAGCAGUGAAAUGCGUAGAUAUCGAGAGGAACACCAGUGGCGAAGGCGGCACUCUGGGACGGUACUGACGCUGAGACGCGAAAGCGUGGGGAGCGAACAGG